rnacentral:misc_RNA from 1 species
GAUGAAGAACGCAGCGAAAUGCGAUAAGUAAUGUGAAUUGCAGAAUUCAGUGAAUCAUCGAAUCUUUGAACGCACAUUGCGCCCCUUGGUAUUCCGAGGGGCAUGCCUGUUCGAGCGUCAUUACAACCCUCAAGCUCUGCUUGGUAUUGGGCCCCGCCGACCCGGCGAGCCCUAAAAUCAGUGGCGGUGCCGUCUGGUUCCGAGCGUAGUAAUUCUUCUCGCUUUGGAGGCCGGGCGUGUGCUUGCCAGCAACCCCCAAUUUUUUUCAGGUUGACCUCGGAUCAGGUAGGGAUACCCGCUGAACUUAAGCAUAUCAAUAAGCGGAGGA